GAUGAAGAACGUAGCGAAAUGCGAUAAGUAGUGUGAAUUGCAGAAUUCAGUGAAUCAUCGAAUCUUUGAACGCACAUUGCGCCCUUUGGUAUUCCUUAGGGCAUGCCUGUUCGAGCGUCAUUUCACCACUCAAGCCUGGCUUGGUGUUGGGCGACGUCCCCUUUGGGGACGCGCCUCGAAACGCUCGGCGGCGUGGCACCGGCUUUAAGCGUAGCAGAAUCUUUCGCUUUGGAAGUCGGGGCCCCGUCUGCCGGAAGACCUACUCGCAAGGUUGACCUCGGAUCAGGCAGGGAUACCCGCUGAACUUAAGCAUAUCAAUAAGCGGAGGA
rnacentral:misc_RNA from 1 species